AGGGAAUUGUCAACAAAGGGACGAGAGACGCGCAACUCCGCUCCGCACUGUGCGCCAGCAUCCCCGGGGCACGGAGGGCGCUGCGGCCCGCCCGGAGACCCCCCCACCCAGGCUGGAUCCGGGCCCUGGGGCCCAGGGAGCGGGUCCUACCUGCUCUUUCCCGGCUUGAUGCGGGCGUGUUUUCCUGUAUGUAUUUUUUCGUGCGGCCACAAAAAGCAUCAGCUGGGGUUCCCGAAGGUCAGAAAAUGGCUAUUGAUUAAUCUACUAGAAUAGUUGCCGAGAGAAAUAAAAACGACGUAAAAUAGCAGGGAACCUAUAAAUAAAGAAGCCAUAACUGGCUACUUGGAGUUGUUAAACGACUUAGCAUAUGAAAAAAUCGGAAAUGAGGCGCUGGGGAAGGAGCUGGGAUUGGCAGCGGCCUGGGUAAGUCGAGUGGAUCCGGGAAGAGGCCUGGUGUCUUCAGGUGUGGACAAAUCCUCCAAGAUUUAACUUCCAAGAAAACCGGCGGCGGAGCGGGUGGAGGAGGCGAGGAUGUGUGGCCAAUGCACGCGGAGUGCAAGGCCGCCUAGUUGGGAGCCGCAAGAGCCUGCCUGGUGUGGCAGGCACACGGAACCCAAUCCCUGUCUGUCCGCUGCGGCCUGGGAGGGGAGCGCCGGCCUCACCAGAGGAAGGAGCACGAGGGGAGGAGUUCCGAGAGGAAAUAAUUAGUGAAAUAUUUGCAGAAGAUGCUGGGAUGUGGAUUUAAUUCCGGAUGGACAGUGGUGCUUCUGAUUCCCUCAGUCUGUUUCCCCACCCACGAUCUCCUCUUUCCUUGGCCUAGACACACCAAAAAUAAUUCAAUAAAAUAAAAAUAAAAAUUUAAAAA
rnacentral:lncRNA from 1 species